rnacentral:rRNA from 1 species
GCAGAACGCGAAGAACCUUACCUGGCCUUGACAUGUCUGGAAUCCCGGAGAGAUCUGGGAGUGCCGCAAGGAACCAGAACACAGGUGCUGCAUGGCUGUCGUCAGCUCGUGUCGUGAGAUGUUGGGUUAAGUCCCGCAACGAGCGCAACCCUUGUCCUUAGUUGCCAUCAUUCAGUUGGGAACUCUAAGGAGACCGCCGGUGACAAACCGGAGGAAGGUGGGGAUGACGUCAAGUCAUCAUGGCCUUUAUGGCCAGGGCUACACACGUGCUACAAUGGCAGAUACAGAGGGUGGCCAACCGGCGACGGGGAGCCAAUCCCAGAAAAUCUGUCUUAGUCCGGAUUGCAGUCUGCAACUCGACUGCAUGAAGCUGGAAUCGCUAGUAAUCGCGGAUCAGCAUUGCUGCGGUGAAUACGUUCCCGGGUCUUGUACACACC